GAUGAAGAACGUAGCGAAAUGCGAUACUUGGUGUGAAUUGCAGAAUCCCGUGAACCAUCGAGUCUUUGAACGCAAGUUGCGCCCGAAGCCAUCAGGUUGAGGGCACGUCUGCCUGGGCGUCACAUAUCGUUGCUCGAUGCCUAUCGCAUUGCGAUAGGACUUAGGGCGAAUGAUGGCUUCCCGUGAGCGUUGUUGCCUCGCGGUUGGUUGAAAAUCGAGUCCUUGGUAGGGUGUGCCAUGAUAGAUGGUGGUCGAGUUAGCACGAGACGAUCAUGUGCAUGCUCCCCAAAAUAUGGCCUCUGUGACCCACACGCGUCUUUUGACGCUCAUGACGAGACCUCAGGUCAGGCGGGGCUACCCGCUGAAUUUAAGCAUAUCAAUAAGCGGAGGA
rnacentral:misc_RNA from 1 species